rnacentral:rRNA from 1 species
GCAUUGCCUCAGUACGGCGAGUGAAGCGGCAAAAGCUCAAAUUUGAAAUCUAGCACCUUCGGUGUUCGAGUUGUAAUUUGAAGAUGGUAACCUUGGGUUUGGCUCUUGUCUAUGUUCCUUGGAACAGGACGUCAUAGAGGGUGAGAAUCCCGUCUGAUGAGAUGCCCAUUCCUAUGUAAGGUGCUAUCGAAGAGUCGAGUUGUUUGGGAAUGCAGCUCUAAGUGGGUGGUAAAUUCCAUCUAAAGCUAAAUAUUGGCGAGAGACCGAUAGCGAACAAGUACAGUGAUGGAAAGAUGAAAAGAACUUUGAAAAGAGAGUGAAAAAGUACGUGAAAUUGUUGAAAGGGAAGGGCAUUAGAUCAGACUUGGUGUUUUACGAUUAUCUUCUCUUCUUGAGUUGUGCACUCGUAUUUCACUGGGCCAGCAUCGAUUCGGAUGGCAAGAUAAUGGCAGUUGAAUGUGGCUUCACUUCGGUGGAGUGUUAUAGCUUCUGCUGAUAUUGCCUGUCUGGAUCGAGGGCUGCGUCUUUUGACUAGGAUGCUGGCGUAAUGAUCUAAUGCCGCCCGUCCAAUU